GAGUUUGAUCCUGGCUCAGGAUGAACGCUGGCGGCGUGCUUAACACAUGCAAGUCGAACGAAGCGCCUUAUUUGAUUUUCUUCGGAACUGAAGAUUUGGUGACUGAGUGGCGGACGGGUGAGUAACGCGUGGGUAACCUGCCCUGUACAGGGGGAUAACAAUCAGAAAUGACUGCUAAUACCGCAUAAGACCACAGCACCGCAUGGUGCAGGGGUAAAAACUCCGGUGGUACAGGAUGGACCCGCGUCUGAUUAGCUGGUUGGUGAGGUAACGGCUCACCAAGGCGACGAUCAGUAGCCGGCUUGAGAGAGUGAACGGCCACAUUGGGACUGAGACACGGCCCAAACUCCUACGGGAGGCAGCAGUGGGGAAUAUUGCACAAUGGGGGAAACCCUGAUGCAGCAACGCCGCGUGAGUGAAGAAGUAUUUCGGUAUGUAAAGCUCUAUCAGCAGGGAAGAAAGUGACGGUACCUGACUAAGAAGCCCCGGCUAACUACGUGCCAGCAGCCGCGGU
rnacentral:rRNA from 1 species